rnacentral:tRNA from 1 species
ACUUUUAUAGUAUAAAUAUUACUAUUGACUUCCAAUCAAUAAAUCUAAAAACUUAGUAUAAGUA